AAAAGUUUCCCAAUUAGCCGACAUUUAAAGUAAAUCUAAUCAUUGCUCAUUAUAUUAAAAAAAUAUUAUGUUAUAUUAAGUUAAAUCAUUAGUAAAAUGUCAUGUCAAUGAAUAUUAAAGAAUAUUAUAUUUUAGAAUCCCUAUAAAAUAAUGUCAAUACCUUAAACUCGGUCCGUCAUGAUAAUAAAAAUUUGAAAAUAAUAAUAAAAGUUCGAUAAAGGAAGUAUAAAAAUAGGAUAAAUUCUUACCUUGUCUCUUUACACCUGGAUUGCUUCUUUGGAUUGUCCUCUUAAAGUUUCUCCCCUGUGUCGACUUUGGUUCGUUUCUCUAUUGGAUUGGUUUUACUUCCCAUUUCUAGUUUAUAACAACUAUUUUCUGCGUACUUUCCUUCGGGUCCAAAAGGCUGGAGCUUAGCAUGCUUUUCCAAUUAGGCAGAUGAUCGCCAUGACGUGGUACUAGGUCUGGUGGCUGAGCUAUUGUGCCCUAAGUGCGGGAUGUAUAAUAAUAUACCAUUUUCACUUUAUAAAUAUAUUUGAACUUCACAGCGUUCGUUUACACAAUUAAACAACAGUAUAUAUGUAAACAAUAACUAAGGUAUUAUUGCUUCAUCGUGACUAAUCGAUUGAUCUGAAAUCUCGUCAAUUCUUUGGUUCGUUUAUAUACAAUAAAUCAUAAGGUCAAUACCGGUCAAUGCCGAAACAUAUUUACAUUACUAUAAACUAUACUUAUAAUAUUUUAUUCAAUGCUAAGGGUUAACGUACUAUGUUACAAUCUCAAAUGUAAUUUCAAACCACUUGCUUGAAAAAAUUGUCUAAGACAAAUUUUACACUUGUGUGGUUUUUCUCCAGUGUGCACUCUCAAAUGGUAUUUCAAAUGACUUGACGUAAUAAACUGCUUAAAACAAAUUUCACACUUGUGAGGUUUUUCUCCAGUGUGCAAUCUCAUAUGUUGUUUUAAAGUGCCUGCUUGAUUAAACUGUUUGAAACAAAUUUCACACUUGUGAGGUUUUUCUCCAGUGUGCACUAUCAAAUGUUGUUUUAAAGUGCUUGCUUGACUAAACUGCUUAAAACAAAUUUCACACUUGUGGGGUUUUUCCCCAGUGUGCACUCUUAUAUGUUUUUUUAAAUUACUUGCUAGAUUAAACAGCUUAAAACAAAUUUCACACUUAUGAGGUUUUUCUCCAGUGUGAAAUCUCAAAUGUAAUUUCAAACCACUUGCUUGAAAAAAUUGUGUAAGACAAAUUUCACACUUGUGUGGUUUUUCUCCAGUGUGCACUCUCAAAUGGUAUUUCAAAUCACUUGACGUAAUAAACUGCUUAAAACAAAUUUCACACUUGUGAGGUUUUUCUCCAGUGUGCAAUCUCAUAUGUUGUUUUAAAGUGCCUGCUUGAUUAAACUGUUUGAAACAAAUUUCACACUUGUGAGGUUUUUCUCCAGUGUGCAAUCUCAUAUGUUGUUUUAAAGUGCCUGCUUGAUUAAACUGUUUGAAACAAAUUUCACACUUGUGAGGUUUUUCUCCAGUGUGCACUAUCAAAUGUUGUUUUAAAGUGCUUGCUUGACUAAACUGCUUAAAACAAAUUUCACACUUGUGGGGUUUUUCCCCAGUGUGCACUCUUAUAUGUUUUUUUAAAUUACUUGCUAGAUUAAACAGCUUAAAACAAAUUUCACACUUAUGAGGUUUUUCUCCAGUGUGAAAUCUCAAAUGUAAUUUCAAACCACUUGCUUGAAAAAAUUGUGUAAGACAAAUUUCACACUUGUGUGGUUUUUCUCCAGUGUGCACUCUCAAAUGGUAUUUCAAAUCACUUGACGUAAUAAACUGCUUAAAACAAAUUUCACACUUGUGAGGUUUUUCUCCAGUGUGCAAUCUCAUAUGUUGUUUUAAAGUGCCUGCUUGAUUAAACUGUUUGAAACAAAUUUCACACUUGUGAGGUUUUUCUCCAGUGUGCAAUCUCAUAUGUUGUUUUAAAGUGCCUGCUUGAUUAAACUGUUUGAAACAAAUUUCACACUUGUGGGGUUUUUCCCCAGUGUGCAAUCUCAUAUGUUGUUUUAAAUUAACUGCUAGAUUAAACUGUUUGAAACAAAUUUCAC